AAAAAAGGUAAGCUACUAAGAGCGAAUGGUGGAUGCCUUGACUGGUAAAGGCGAUGAAGGACGUACUAGACUGCGAUAAGCUACGGGGAGCUGUCAAGAAGCUUUGAUCCGUAGAUUUCCGAAUGGGGCAACCCAAUGUAUAGAGAUAUACAUUACCUAUAUAGGAGCGAACGAGGGGAAUUGAAACAUCUUAGUACCCUCAGGAAAAGAAAUCAAUAGAGAUUGCGUCAGUAGCGGCGAGCGAAAGCGCAAGAGGGCAAACCCAGUGCUUGCACUGGGGGUUGUAGGACUGCAAUGUGCAAGAGGUGAGUUUAGCAGAACAUUCUGGAAAGUAUAGCCAUAGAGGGUGAUAGUCCCGUAUGCGAAAAACAAACCUUAGCUAGCAGUAUCCUGAGUAGGGCGGGACACGAGAAAUCCUGUCUGAAGCUGGGUCGACCACGAUCCAACCCUAAAUACUAAUACCAGAUCGAUAGUGCACAAGUACCGUGAGGGAAAGGUGAAAAGAACUGAGGUGAUCAGAGUGAAAUAGAACCUGAAACCAUUUGCUUACAAUCAUUCAGAGCACUAUGUAGCAAUACAGUGUGAUGGACUGCCUUUUGCAUAAUGAGCCUGCGAGUUGUGGUGUCUGGCAAGGUUAAGCAAACGCGAAGCCGUAGCGAAAGCGAGUCUGAAUAGGGCGCUUAGUCAGAUGCUGCAGACCCGAAACGAAGUGAUCUAUCCAUGAGCAAGUUGAAGCUAGUGUAAGAACUAGUGGAGGACUGAACCCAUAGGCGUUGAAAAGCCCCGGGAUGACUUGUGGAUAGGGGUGAAAGGCCAAUCAAACUUCGUGAUAGCUGGUUCUCUCCGAAAUAUAUUUAGGUAUAGCGUUGUGUCGUAAUAUAAGGGGGUAGAGCACUGAAUGGGCUAGGGCAUACACCAAUGUACCAAACCCUAUCAAACUCCGAAUACCUUAUAUGUAAUCACAGCAGUCAGGCGGCGAGUGAUAAAAUCCGUCGUCAAGAGGGAAACAACCCAGACUACCAGCUAAGGUCCCUAAAUCUUACUUAAGUGGAAAACGAUGUGAAGUUACUUAAACAACCAGGAGGUUGGCUUAGAAGCAGCCAUCCUUUAAAGAAAGCGUAAUAGCUCACUGGUCUAGUGAUUUUGCGCGGAAAAUAUAACGGGGCUAAAGUAAGUACCGAAGCUGUAGACUUGAUUUUAUCAAGUGGUAGGAGAGCGUUCUAUUUGCGUCGAAGGUAUACCGGUAAGGAGUGCUGGAGCGAAUAGAAGUGAGCAUGCAGGCAUGAGUAGCGAUAAUUAAUGUGAGAAUCAUUAACGCCGUAAACCCAAGGUUUCCUACGCGAUGCUCGUCAUCGUAGGGUUAGUCGGGUCCUAAGUCGAGUCCGAAAGGGGUAGACGAUGGCAAAUUGGUUAAUAUUCCAAUACCAACAUUAGUGUGCGAUGGAAGGACGCUUAGGGCUAAGGGGGCUAGCGGAUGGAAGUGCUAGUCUAAGGUCGUAGGAGGUUAUACAGGCAAAUCCGUAUAACAAUACUCCGAGAACUGAAAGGCUUUUUGAAGUCUUCGGAUGGAUAGAAGAACCCCUGAUGCCAUCGAGCCAAGAAAAGUUUCUAAGUUUAGCUAAUGUUGCCCGUACCGUAAACCGACACAGGUGGGUGGGAUGAGUAUUCUAAGGCGCGUGGAAGAACUCUCUUUAAGGAACUCUGCAAAAUAGCACCGUAUCUUCGGUAUAAGGUGUGGUUCGCUUCGUAUUAGGAUUUACUCCGAAAGCGAAGAAACUUACAACAAAGAGUCCCUCCCGACUGUUUACCAAAAACACAGCACUCUGCUAACUCGUAAGAGGAUGUAUAGGGUGUGACGCCUGCCCGGUGCUCGAAGGUUAAUUGAUGGGGUUAGCAUUAGCGAAGCUCUUGAUCGAAGCCCGAGUAAACGGCGGCCGUAACUAUAACGGUCCUAAGGUAGCGAAAUUCCUUGUCGGUUAAAUACCGACCUGCAUGAAUGGCGUAACGAGAUGGGAGCUGUCUCAAAGAGGGAUCCAGUGAAAUUGUAGUGGAGGUGAAAAUUCCUCCUACCCGCGGCAAGACGGAAAGACCCCGUGGACCUUUACUACAGCUUGACACUGCUAUUUGGAUAAGAAUGUGCAGGAUAGGUGGGAGGCUUUGAGUAUAUGACGCCAGUUGUAUAUGAGCCAUUGUUGAGAUACCACUCUUUCUUAUUUGGGUAGCUAACCAGCUUGAGUUAUCCUCAAGUGGGACAAUGUCUGGUGGGUAGUUUGACUGGGGCGGUCGCCUCCCAAAUAAUAACGGAGGCUUACAAAGGUUGGCUCAGAACGGUUGGAAAUCGUUCGUAGAGUAUAAAGGUAUAAGCCAGCUUAACUGCAAGACAUACAAGUCAAGCAGAGACGAAAGUCGGUCUUAGUGAUCCGGUGGUUCUGUGUGGAAGGGCCAUCGCUCAAAGGAUAAAAGGUACCCCGGGGAUAACAGGCUGAUCUCCCCCAAGAGCUCACAUCGACGGGGAGGUUUGGCACCUCGAUGUCGGCUCAUCGCAUCCUGGGGCUGGAGCAGGUCCCAAGGGUAUGGCUGUUCGCCAUUUAAAGCGGUACGCGAGCUGGGUUCAGAACGUCGUGAGACAGUUCGGUCCCUAUCUGCCGUGGGCGUAAGAAGAUUGAAGAGAUUUGACCCUAGUACGAGAGGACCGGGUUGAACAAACCACUGGUGUAGCUGUUGUUCUGCCAAGAGCAUCGCAGCGUAGCUAAGUUUGGAAAGGAUAAACGCUGAAAGCAUCUAAGCGUGAAGCCAACUCUAAGAUGAAUCUUCUCUAAGCUCUCUAGAAGACUACUAGUUUGAUAGGCUGGGUGUGUAAUGGAUGAAAGUCCUUUAGCUGACCAGUACUAAUAGAGCGUUUGGCUUAUCUUUAAUAAAGCAU
rnacentral:rRNA from 1 species